rnacentral:lncRNA from 1 species
CACAAUUUUAUCAGACAUCUGUUAUUUGGACUGCUGUGGGAAAAAUGUGUGAAUGGAUGGAUAAUCAUCACAUCUCCAUAGCUGAGUCUGAUGCUGAGUGGUAUUGGUUGAAGGCUUCUCAAGAAUGCUGUGCCUUAUCUGCUUUAUUGACAGGAAAGUACUUUCAAGAGAAGCGAAGCGAAGCGAAGCGAAGCGAAGCGAAGCGAAGAGAAGAGAAGAGAAGAGAAGAGAAGAGAAGAGAAGAGAAGAGAAGAGAAGAGAAGAGAAGAGAAGAGAAGAGAAGAGAAGAGAAGAGAAGANAGAGAAGAGAAGAGAAGAGAAGAGAAGAGAAGAGAAGAGAAGAGAAGAGAAGAGAAGAGAAGAGAAGAGAAGAGAAGAGAAGAUGCAAAAAGGGAAAAGUGGACAGGGGAAGAGAAGAUAAAGGGGAAGGAGAAAGGCAAGAAAAUGGAAAAGGGGAGAGAGGAGAAUGGGAAGGGGCUUGGAGAAAACAAGUAGAAGGAAGAAAAUGCAAGUGUGUUAAUUUGAAAUAAAUGUCUGGAACUUUUCUGCUGAAUUUCCUCU